CUCCCUCACCUAUACUCACAGCCAAUUGGCCAGGAUUAGUCGCAGGAACUUGCCUAACCGCCAGGGGCCCGGCAAGGGCAGUGCUCUUGGGGGCCUCGGAAGGAAAGGCAAGGCACAGGUGGUGGGGCACUAGAAGUCUCUACCACAGCAGCCGGACAAACGAAAGAGCAGUCCAGGAGGCAGCAGCAGCACAAAGAUACACAAGAGCGACUUCGGUGUGUGGGAGGCCCAGGAAGACAGCUCGCGUGGCCGAGGCAGAGGGCAAGGGGGUCAGUGGCAAGAAAUGGGACCAGAAAAGAAGGCAGGGACGGGAGGAUGCGGUUAUGACCCACGAAGGAACUUGGAGCCGCGUCUGGCACAGAGCAAGCGCCCGAGAAAUGGGAACAACAGGCUCUUCACUUCCCCUCUCCAAGUCUCCAGUCCCCUGUCCACAAAAUGAGGAUGUGCACGAGAACUCACCUGUGCAGUGAGCCUUCUAGAACACCUCACCUGGUAUACAGUAGGUCCCCGAUAAGCAAGAGUUUUGAUACUGUCACAACUCAGCUCUGCACAGAUACUAAGCUUUCACUGCAAGAUGCAGGACAGGCUUUCUACUGACUCUACUGACUCCGAACAAAAUUGACGAUCAAAGAAUUCUGAUGAUGUAUCUUUUUCAAGAGAGACCCACACUGAGAUCUUUUUAACUCUGAGGCCAGGGAAGGAGCGCAGAGAGAGUGCCCCAUACACUUUAAACUUUGUUGGAUUUUGUGUGCGUGUGUCUUUCCAUGAUCGGCAGUCAUGUUUUCAAAUAUGCUAGUCUCCAAGAAGGUGCCUCAAUAUCUUCAAGGCCUGGCUAUACCCGACAGUCAACAUUUACCCAAGGUGUGUUUAACAAUUUCAUUCAGGAUGUAGGCUUGGUGAUUGAAUGAAUGGAUGGAUGGAUGAGUGGAUGGGCUAUCCGUCCCAUUCAUUUCAUUUAUUUUUUUUUCAAAAAAAAAUUUUUAAUGUUUAUUUUUGAGGGAGAGAGACAGAGAGACAGAACAUGAGCGGAGGAGGGGCAGAGAGAAGGAGACACAGCAUCUGAAGUAGGAUUCAGGCUCUGAGCUCUCAGCACAGAGCCCAAUUCAGGCUUCAAACUCACAGACCUUGAGAUCAUGACCUGAGCCGAAGUCAGAUACUUAACCGACUAAGCCACCCAGGCGCCCUUAUUUUUAAUUUUUUUUAAUGUUUAUUUAUUUAUUUUGAGAGAGAGAGAGAGAGCACAAGUUGGGGAGGGGCAGAGAGAGAGAGAGACAGAAAAUUCCAAGCAGGCUCCAUUCUGUCGGCGAAGAGCCCAAUGCGGGGCUCGAUCCCACAACCUGUGAGAUCAUGACCUGAGCUGAAAUCAAUAAUCUGAGGCUUAACCCCCUGAGCCACCCAGGCGCCCCCUAAGGAGUGGUUUAAAGGGAAAAUAGUUGGUGAGAGAUGGCCUGCCUUCCCCUAGCCAGGCCCUUCCCACCCCCAGUCCCCUCCAUCUCUAACCCCUCCCCCUCUUGCCCCCACCCCAGUCAUUUCCUGAAGUUUCUUGAACAUUCCCACGCACCCUUCCCAGGUUUAUUCCCCCACCUCCAGUCACCCUCCAGGACACGACACACACACACACACACACACACACGCACGCACACACAACCCAGGGUGGAACUUGAGGCUCUCCUUCUACACCCACAUCAACCAGCCUGGGGAAUGCUGGGAAGGCUGAGGAAUAAAGCCUCCCUUUCUCCCGAGAAAGAGCUGGAGCUCUGAGACAGAUAAAGGACCUGGCUGAGAACAGAAGAGGUCCUCGUGGGGAAGGCAGUUAGAUCUCUGGCCUGCAGACAUUCCGAAUGGAUGGACAUCCUGUCUCUCCUUGGCCUCUCCUUCAGUUUGCUCUGGGGCGUGGGCAAGAUGGCCACCGGCCAGGCCCAGCUUCACAGGCCUGUGACCAGUGUGGUCACACAGGGCCUCACGUUCAAAGGACCCCAUGCUUGGGGUUUAACGCUCUGCAGCUGCUGUCUUGAAAUCCAUAACCAUUUGUCUUUGAAUCUGUGUUUUGUAAGUGACAUCUGAUGGGACAAUGGAGCACGCGCCAAGAACUUGGAGCUUCAAGCCAUGUGCUGUCCUGCCUCCUGCCACCUCCCUGCCUCCCCGGGACAGGUUCUCAGCUCCCCCUUACCCCCUGGCACCGUGGCCCCGCCUGGCCUCCCCCUCCACUGACGCCCUCCACCCUGGGUACAGGCACAGGGAGGGUGGGGGUCAGGUAUCGGGGGUGUGCCAGCGGCCAUCACUGCCCAGGACUGGCAGCAUGCACUUGGGCACCCAUGGCAGGGGUGGCAGGGUGCCUGGGAGGGUCUGCAGUAUCCCCAAGCCCAAUAGCACUCCCUGAAGCAGCUUUGUGUGGUCAAGGAUCUUCUUCCUCCUCCUGUAGCCCUCCCGGGACUGCCUUGUGUUUGUCUUCUCUGACCAGCUCAACGCACCCUCGGGGACAAGCCACGAAAUAAAAAAUUGUAUACUUUUGGCGAUUCUGCACAGGAACGAAACGCUCUGGUUUUGCAUUUAAAACCGCUAUUGCACAAUAUGGAGAUGAAUGGUAAAAUUCAUGCUAGUCAUUUAAAUUUUUUAUUUUUCUUUACUUAGAAUGACAUUAAGCAGCAAACAGAAGACACCGUGACAAGUUGGGAGAGAGCCUGGACAAGUAAAAGCGUUCUAUGUACUUUCAAUGGCACUUUUUCCCGCUUUUCCGGCAAAGGGCCCCGCAUGUGGCUGGGCCCCACAAGGACACAGCUGGCCCUGCCACUAGCGUCCCCAGGACAACACCGUCCCAGAAGCCCAGCACAAGGGGCAUCCACCCAAUAGCUCCAACAGGAAGUACCACGGAUCGCACUCACCUGCACAGCCUGGGUCACAUGCUCAUUUCUGAACCAAUCACAGCAGAUGAGGAGGCAGGAGCCCUCUGAUUGGUCAGGUCUGGGCAUGUGUCCAUCCCUAAGACUCGGGGAUUGGUCAGCCCACCUCAGUGCCUCCCCAAGGGGUGCUCCAUGGGGAAGAGGGAUUCCAUUCCCAGAGGAAUGGGGCGGGUUGUCUAGCCACCAACCCCUCCUCCCCUCAACGCUGUCCUCCCCCUACACACUCCUUAUGCUCAGUUUAAAAGAGAGAACAGGAGCAGCUGGCUGGCUCAGUGGGCAGAGUGUGUGACUCGAUCUCGGGACUGUGAGUUCGAACCCCACUUUGGGUGGAGAGAUUACUUAAAAAACGGAAUUUUGACGGUGCCUGGGUGGCUCAGUCGGUUGAGCGUCCGACUUCGGCUCAGGUCACAAUCUCAGGGUUUGUGAGUUCAAGCCCCGCAUCAGGCUCUGUGCUGACAGCUCAGAGCCUGGAGCCUGCUUCAGAUUCUGUCUCCCUCUCUCUCUCUGCUCAUCCCCUGCUUGCACUGUGUCUCUCUCUCUCUCUC